rnacentral:lncRNA from 1 species
AUAGAAUCUUUAAAAUACGUGCUCACUCAAAAGUAAUGUAAAGAACCUGCCGAGGAAGAGGGUAAUUUUUAAAUUCUCAAAUUCCAACUUAUAAAUUUAUUGCAUAGAUAAUACGAAUAUAGUGAUUUUAAAUUAUAAGUCAUGAACUUGGAUUUUAUAACGAGCCAAACAUUCGCACAAUUUUUACCAAUCCAAAAAGAUCAAGCCAUCAAGGUGAAGGAGAGAUAAUGGUCCUUUGAUAUGCAUCGCAUGCUCCAUCUUGCACUAAUCUAAUUUAAAGAAAAUCUCUUAUCGAAUUGUACUCCACUAAUAAAUUUAGGUUCUUAAAAUUUUGUACAACAUAUGAGAAUGUUUGGCUCUGUAAGAUUUAUCUAUCAAGAAACUAUGAGAAGAAUGGUAAACUCCCUGACACGUAUGACAACCUUUCUCAUCCUGAACUACUUUUGAUCCGGCUCAACUUUGUAUUAGUUUCGAGUUUUAAUGUAAGAAUCUACAGGAAGCACAUGGAGAUCGAAGACUUUCCGGCAUGUUUUAGCCCAUUUGGUCUAGCUCAAAGGAGGCGUUCGAUCUUCAGUUUUGUUAGUCUAUAUGUUAGUUCUGCCUGUUUGAAUGUUUGAUUUUUACUCCAAUUAUAGAUGCUUUAGUUCUUUGUACCUCUGUACAGGAAGAAGAAUGAUGUACAAUCAAGAAAUUAUGCUGAGAAGGAAAUUGGAGGAGGAUGCCGAAUUGCAACACGCUAUUGAAUACCAGGGGAGGAGGCUGAUGGAUCUUCAACUCCCAGAAAUCAUAAACCCGAAUAUCAAUCAACUGCAAAUGCCAAAGACAUGAAAAAUUAUCAUAAAGAUGGUUAUUCAAGCAAUUUUUACAUUAUAAAAUUUGUAGUACUCGUAGAGACAUUACAUUAAAAAUGCUCCUGUAUUUAUGUAAUAUGAUUUUAAUGUAUUUACUAUCUAAAACAUUAAAAUAUUUAUCUAACAUUAAUUUUGAAAAAUGCUCUUGUAUUUAUGUAUUAUGAUUUUAAUGUAUUUUAGUGAAAAGGGUCUUGAAGAAAAAGUCAGUACCAUUGAUGAGGAUCAAAUGACUAUUGUAGGAGCUACUGAAAGGGCAAAUAAAGAUAUAGAUAUCGACGCAAAUACUAGUGCUAAGAACGCUGGAGCUGUGAAGAAGGCUAGUUCUAAAUGUCGAAAGAAAAAGAUGCGUUCGAUGGCUGAAAUCCUUCAUGUCAAUGAUGAAGAAAGAAGCGACCAGUUAGCUUCUCACAAUACAACUCCCAAAGAAUGGGUUGCUCCAUCUUCAAUUUUUACUUCGCGAAAAAGAGAGAUUAAUCAGGAGCCUUCUAAGGAGAUGCAAUUUCUUGGGCACGAGCCCAAAAAGGUUCGAGCCUCCAAGGGAGAUGUCACUACAACUAUUGCACAAAUACAUAAUAAGAUGCAAGGAUCUAUCAACAUAUAAUUUAAGAUAAAUGAGACUCCUUUCUGUAACUUAUGGUAGAUAUGAAACUAUUAUACUUAUUUGAAGUUUUCUACCUUGGAGUUCCACUUUUGUUCAGAAGGGUGAUGGUUGCUCGAAGGUAAAUAGAAGAAGAAGGUCACCUAAUGCAUAGAUGAGGUGGAUCUUCUUUUAGACAAAUAAUAGCUGUAUAACAAAAGAAGAUAAAUAUUAUUUCCUUAGAAAGGCAAAUCAUUUAUGCUUGUGAUACUUAUGUCUUUUGCUUUUGGAGAAUAUAAAAAAUUAGCCUACACAUCUAUUUUAGUAAACAACAAAAUGUACACAAAGAUCACAACAAUUAUUUCGACAAGCUGGUGUAAUGACCUUGGAAGUGUUCCUAAAUUGGAAAGAUAAGUAUGGUAGAAAUUAUCAAGAAGUCAAAUUGUAUGAAAGUUAUACUCAAUAGAUAUAAUUAAUUGCACAUCUUGUAUGAUUUUACAAAAAUAUUAAUAUAAGAGAAACCCUCAAAUAUAAUAAUCAGAAAGAGAAAGAAUAAUAUAAGUUAUAUAUAUUCAUAUGCUUCAUUACCACCUCAAAAUUUCAUUCAUAUAAUUUAAUAAAAAUUACAUCAUAAAUUCGAGGUCCUUACGAUUAGUAUACAUACCCAAUAAGUGAAUGGAGCACGUGAAUGCAGCAGGUGAAUGGAGCACCUUCUUCAUUGUUUCCCAAGAUUGUAAUGAAAUCUUAAAGCUACCUGGAAAAAAAAAAUUCAUUUUGCAACUUUGUAUAACAUGCUAAUAUAUCUAAGACAGUAUGUCAAUCCCAAACACAAUAGACAAAUUAAAAUAUACAUAAUCCUAAACAAAAUUACAUAUGUGAAGUGCUAUAAUCAUAGACUUUAUUGUCCAUAUAAAUAUUUUCUCUUCAUAUAAGGUCAAAAACCACCUCAAAUAUUGUUGGGUGUAACUUGUACCUUAUAUAAUAUAUUUUUUAAAAUAUAUGGUAUUUAGAUAUAGGAAGAUAUAUACCUUGUAUUUCAAUUAUGGAGAUAAAUACUUCAUGUGAACAUUGUAGAAUGUUUGAUCUAGGAUCCAUACAAGGGAAAAUACCUUGUGGCCUGCGAGAGGAGAAAUAUCAUCAAAAUCAAAUCUUCUAUAUAAUUAUCUUCUCUAUAAUUAAUAGAUAAUAUUAAUCUAAAAUACAAUAAAUUUGUUUAUAAUUGUGAAGUAAAAGAUUUAAUGGAUAAAUAUUGUAUUGAAAAUAAUCCACCAUUGAUACAAGAAUUUAUUGCACUUUACGAAGAAAACACAAUUUGAUUCAUAAGAGAAUAUGAUUUUAGAAAGAUACAAAAUCUUUAAUAAAUCCAAUCAUGUUGAAAAACACACAAACACACAUAUAUACAUAUGCUUAUUUAGAUGUAUGUAUGCAUAUUAAUGAAGUCAUGACGAAUAUAAAUCAACUUGUUCAUGUAAAUUUUAACAUAAAAUAAAAUCAGAAUGAAAAAAUAUAGAGUAAUUGAAUCAAUAAAUGACCAAAUUAUAUAAAUUGAGAAGAAAAGGAGUUUCAGAUGUACCUUAUGAUUUGAAUCAAUAUCUUUAUAGAUGAUCAAAUGAUAAAUUUAGGAGAAAAGACGUUCUAGAUGUACUACAUGAUUAAGAACUAAAUUGAGAGCUAAAAAAGGGUGCGCCCCUCUAUUAUUCCAGCUUUGAUAUGAGAGGAUUAGGGUAGAUGUCCUUGCGAUUAAGUGAAAUAAACUGAGAGCUACAGAUGAGCCGACGCUCUCUUACUCCACUUUUGAUAUGAGAAUAUUAGGGUUCUUAUCAAUGAUAGGUAUUUAGAAUGUAUUUAAUUUGACCCAAAUGGGCCAUGGGGUGGAUUGUUAUUUCAUACCAUCCCAACAUGUACAGGCCCAACACCUUGAUAGAAGUUAGUGGACAUAAUUUACUAAAUGGGCUUAUUUUGGGUAAGAGAAAUUGAAAAACAAAUUCUUUUCUUUGCUUUCACUUGCUCCCAUCUCAAAGUCUUUAUCUCCAAAAUUUAGUAGUUAGUAUUUUAAUAUUUUUAUUUCUUAUUUGUAAAAUUAUAAUUUUAAAAUAUAUCUAUUAAAUUUUGGAGUGGAUUAAUUAAAUUUUACAAAAUAUUUUGUAAAUUUCUAAGUUCAAAAUUUAUUAACAUCGAGUUGUAAAUAAAUUUACACAAACACAUAAUAAACUUAUAAUCAACAAGUUAAGUAUGAUUUAUAUAUAGUUAUAUACUUAACUUUAAAAGUGAUUUCUUAAACAUAAAUCAAAUUCAUUAAAAAAUACUAGCAAUUACUACUAUUUUCUUUAAAAAAAUUAAUCAAGUUUUAAAUUAAAUGUUCUUUUGUGGUCAUUUCACAUAAUAUUCUAUAUAAAGUAUAAAUUAAGGAUGACCAAAUGAUAUAAAUUAAGGAGAAAAAGAGUUCUAAAUGUACCGUAUGAUUAAUAUUAAGUGGAGUAGAUUAAGAGCUAAUAUAGGAUUAGGACUUUGUCAAUUGAAUUUGCCUAGGUUCAAAUUUAAGAUGAUGGUUGUUUAGACUACAUCUAAUUUCACCGGAGUGCUUUAUAGGUUUGUUUGAAUUUUGGUGGAUUUUAUUUUUCUAAAAUCAUAACAUGUACAAUCUGUUAUGGAUCAAAAAUCGAGGGGUGAGCUUCGUGCUUUUUGACUGAUCUCGCGAGUCGGAACUCAGACGGGUCCUCACGAGGUGCCUACGUAUCUUCAGCGGGGUGAAUAAUCAAGUCAAAAAACGUAGUUCUAUUUUGGAGGGGUAGAGCCCUUUAUAUAGAUGUCUCAGGGUUAGAGACUGAUUAGAAGUAGGAUCCCUGGUGUUAGAGUCCUAGUAGAAAUAGGUAUUUGAGUCAGAGAUAGGAUAGGACUGAUCCUUGAUCCUUAUCUUGAGUUGCUGGAGGUUAUCUAGGACUCUAGAUAGUUAUCCACGAAAUUCAGAGUUCUUGUAGGACUCUCGGAGUCCUGGACUCGUCAGUCAGACUCCUAGUAGGACUAGGAUUCGAGUUCUGGGCCCUGACCGGGCUGGGGGCUCGUGCCUUGAGUUUGGGCAGCCCAUGCAUAGAUGCCCAACGGGCUUUUUAUAACCUCAAUCUGCUAGCCACGAAUUUUGGGUGAUAGACCCAGAAUCCGGGCCUUAUAUUCUGGCCUUUAAUCAGACCCGGGCUCAAAAUUACCCAAUAAUUUUUAGGGCCAAUUUCAGACCCAUAUCACAAUCCAACACCUACUAGAUUCAGCAAACAAGAUAAUAAUUAUUUUUUUAUUGCUAAAUUCAAGACAAUAAAUUAUUAAGUAGGCUUAUUCUGCAUAAGAGAAAUUCUAAAGCUUAUUUCUUUUCUUUGCUUUACUUACACCAAACUCUAAAGUAUAUACAUGCUAAAUUCAUUAAUUUGUUUUAAAUUAUUUGUACUUCUAAUUGUUAUAUUUUAUUUUGAAAAUAUGUAUUUAAGUCAUUAGAAUAUUUUUAAUUUUACAAAAAUAUUAUAUAAACUUCUAAGCUACUAAUUUAUUAACGUUGAGCUACUAAUUUAUUAACGUUGAGUUGUAAAUAAAUUUACAAUAACACAUAAAUAACCUAUAACUAAUAAAUAACUUAUGAGUUAUAUUAAAGUUAUAUACUUGUUAAAGUGACUUCUUAAACAUAAACCACACCCAUUAAUAAAUACUAACAUGUACUCUCUUUUUUUUUUCACAAAAAUUAAUUAAGUUCUAAAUUAAAUUUUCUCUUAUGUCUAUUUCAAAAAAAUAUUCUACAUGAAGUUUAACAUUAUAUUUUCUAUUCUCAAAUGUAAUGUUAAUAAUUUUAAAUUUAAAAAACCAAACUCAUGGGCAUAUGAAAUCAAUUCAUGUCAUAUUUGUCUUUGUUGUGAUCUUCUUCUAUAGAUUUUCGAGGUUCCAAUUUCAAUUUAUAUUUGAAUAACAGUGUUUUUUAAUUUUUAUUUUCUAACAAGAAAAUAUUUUUAUUAAAUUUUGUUGCUAAAUAACCUAAAUUUCUGAAAAAUAACUUUUGAACUUAUAAGCUACAAACUAUAUAUAAGUAAAUUUACGAGACACAAAAAUAACGUAUGAUUAAUAAUUGACAUAUCAAUUAUAUGACAAUUAUUCACUUAAAGUUUUUUUUUUUUGAUCAAAUUCACUUAAAGUUAAAACUGAUAAGAAAGAAGCAAUUUUUUUUCCACACGUUCAUCAAGAAGACUUGGGCUCCAAAUUAAAAAAGGGAGAGGUCAUGGCUAUUUUGAACGUUUUAACUACUUGGCCAUUUAGAAAAUGAGUGUAGGUACAAGGAUAAACAAAAGAAAGAUGCUAAUAUUGUUAGCCAAGAUAAAGAUUAUAAGCAUAAUAAUGAAGACACUUUGUUACUUGUCUCUCAUGAAGAUCGAGGAUGUCUGGUACAGUGAGGAUGUCUAAAUUCAUUGAUGGCGAGAAUUGUAAUAACCUCGAAUUGUCUUAUUUCUGUAACUCUUCAAAAUCAAAAGCUAUCUUGUUUUCUUGGUCUUGACAAAGGAGUCUCACCACUCGGGCAUGAUAUGAUCACCUGAAUUAUAGAAGUUUUUAGAUACUCUCAAGAAAGAUGAUGGUUAGAGGUUUGUCAAAGUAAUCAUCUUCACGAUAUUUGUGAAGCUUGUCAAUCUUUGUGGUCCGAUGUUAGUAUCAUCUUCUGGGGUAAUCACUAUUUUAUUUCUUUUAUGGAUGACUAUACAAGAAAAGUUUAGGUGUAUUAUGUUAAAGAAAAGUCAGAAGCAUUUCAAAAAUAUAAAGAUUUUAAGCCUGAGUGGAGAAUUUCAUGGGGCUUAAAAUUAAUACUUUAAGGGCAGAUCAUGAAGGAGAAUAUUUUUUAAAUGAGUUUAAAUAUUACAAACAUAGUGGUAUUCGAUACAAAAUAACAAUCCGUUACACGCCACAACAGAAAAGAAUGUUUGGCUUUGAAAGAUUUGUCUAUCCAGAAACUGUGAGGAGAAGGGUAAACUCCCUGACACGUAUGACAACCUUUCUCAUCCUGAACUACUUUUGAUCCGGCUCAACUUUGUAUUAGUUUCGAGUUUUAAUUUAAGAAUCUGCAGGAAGAACAUGGCGAUCGAAGACUUUCCGGCAUGUUUUAGCUAGCCCAUCUGGGCCUAGCUCAAUGGAGCCGUUUGAUCUUCAGUUUGAUUAGUCUAUAUGUUAGUUCUCGCUGUUGGAAUGUUUGAUUUUUAC